rnacentral:ncRNA from 1 species
AUAAAGGCUGUGAAGGGAAGGAGUACACAUCCUUUUUGAUUUUAGAGAGAAGGCGGUUGGUGCAAGCCUUUACAAGGGGAUGUGGAAGCAGUCUCGGAGCUUCCUGCCGAACUUGAGUAGGCAGAGACGGCUUUGCCGUUAUCCAAAUGAGUGACCAUUUCGGUAAUUAGGGUGGUACCGCGAAGUUAACCUUCGUCCCUUUA